UACAGAGGUCCCAAGCGUUGUUCGGAUUCAUUGGGCGUAAAGGGUGCGUAGGUGGCGCCGUAAGUGGGGUGUGAAAUUUCGGAGCUUAACUCCGAAACUGCAUUCCAUACUGCGGUGCUUGAGGACUGGAGAGGAGACUGGAAUUUACGGUGUAGCAGUGAAAUGCGUAGAGAUCGUAAGGAAGACCAGUGGCGAAGGCGGGUCUCUGGACAGUAACUGACGCUGAGGCGCGAAAGCUAGGGGAGCAAACAGG
rnacentral:rRNA from 1 species